UAAUUUUUAAACUAAGGAGUUGUAAAUAAACAAGAAUAAAACAAUGAAUAGAAAAUAAAGAUAAAAAGGAAGAUAUAGUUGAAAUAUAAAUUUAUUUCUGUAUAAAGUGUAUUUAUUUAUUCUUUCAGAAAUUAUAGAAAUAGAAAUUUAAAGUGUUUUUUAAAUAAAAAAAAAGAAUGGAUCAAAUGUUACCUAGUCCUGGAUUUAGCAUUCCAAGUAUAGGUACACCUUUACAUCAACCAGAAGAGGAUCAACAAAUCUUACCUAAUGCAUUACAACAACAGCAACAACAGCAGCAGCAACAGCAACAAUCACAGCAGCAACAACAAUCACAACAGUAUCAAUUACAACAACUACAUACCAUGAGUCCAAACAUACAAAGUGGUAUGCUGAUGAUCGGAACACCACAAAAAAAUAUGCAUGCCUAUGCAACAACACCUGCUUUUGCAACACCACAAAGUCUUAUGCAACCCCAAACACCGCAAAAUAUGAUGUCUCCAUUAGUACAAAAUACUAAUCAUAUAGCUCCUCCAUCUAUAGGACCAUCUACACCUGGUCCUAUGACACCUAUGACACCAGCUUCUGCAGAUCCAGGAAUAUUACCUCAACUUCAGAAUAUUGUUUCUACAGUUAAUUUAAAUUGCAAAUUAGAUUUAAAAAAAAUAGCUCUUCAUGCUAGAAAUGCGGAAUAUAAUCCAAAGAGAUUUGCUGCAGUUAUUAUGAGGAUAAGAGAACCAAGAACUACUGCAUUAAUAUUUAGUAGUGGAAAAAUGGUUUGUACUGGAGCAAAGAGUGAAGAGGAUUCUCGGUUGGCAGCAAGAAAGUAUGCCAGAAUUAUUCAGAAACUUGGUUUUCCUGCAAAAUUUCUUGAUUUCAAAAUACAAAAUAUGGUAGGCAGCUGUGAUGUGAAAUUUCCAAUUAGAUUAGAAGGUUUAGUACUUACACAUGGACAAUUCUCUUCAUAUGAACCUGAACUCUUCCCUGGAUUAAUAUAUCGUAUGGUUAAACCUAGAAUCGUUUUACUUAUAUUUGUUUCAGGAAAAGUAGUGUUAACAGGAGCAAAAGUUAGACAAGAGAUUUAUGAAGCAUUCGAUAAUAUCUAUCCUAUUUUGAAGAGCUUUAAAAAGCAGUGAUUUUAUUUUUUAUUACAUGUUAAAGUUAUGUAUUAAAUGGACAAAACUAAGAAAUAACUAAUACCUCAUUAUGCAAAUAAUUGUAAAGAGAAGAAAGAAAUCCAUCUAUAGAAUAAGAGAGACAAUUUUUAUGUUUGUAAGAUUAUCUGUAUUCUUAAAAAUGCUUUAACUCUGUAAAAAUUAGAUAACAUUUUGAUACAUUGUAAUAUGAAUUAAUUACAAAAUGAAAAUUGUACAAAUAUUAAAACAUUUUUAUUAUAAAAAUAUACAUUUUAUUGUGACAAAAA